rnacentral:rRNA from 1 species
GACGAACGCUGGCGGCGCGCCUAACACAUGCAAGUCGAACGAGCGAGUGAGAGCUUGCUUUCUCGAGCGAGUGGCGAACGGGUGAGUAACGCGUGAGGAACCUGCCUCAAAGAGGGGGACAACAGUUGGAAACGACUGCUAAUACCGCAUAAGCCCACGACCCGGCAUCGGGUCGAGGGAAAAGGAGCAAUCCGCUUUGAGAUGGCGUCGCGUCCGAUUAGCUAGUUGGUGAGGUAACGGCCCACCAAGGCGACGAUCGGUAGCCGGACUGAGAGGUUGAACGGCCACAUUGGGACUGAGACACGGCCCAGACUCCUACGGGAGGCAGCAGUGGGGAAUAUUGCACAAUGGGGGCAAGCCUGAUGCAGCGACGCCGCGUGGAGGAAGAAGGUCUUAGGAUUGUAAACUCCUGUUGUCGAGGAAGAUAAUGACGGUACUGAACAAGUAAGUGACGGCUAACUACGUG